rnacentral:piRNA from 1 species
UGGAUGUCAAAGAAGACUGUCUCGACCAUC